AUACAGAGGGGGCAAGCGUUAUUCGGAAUUAUUGGGCGUAAAGGGCGCGUAGGCGGCCUGGCAAGUGGAAGGUGAAAUCCCUCGGCUUAACCGAGGAACUGCCUCCCAAACUGCUUGGCUUGAGACCGGGAGAGGUGAGUGGAAUUCCCAGUGUAGCGGUGAAAUGCGUAGAUAUUGGGAGGAACACCAGUGGCGAAGGCGGCUCACUGGACCGGUACUGACGCUGAGGCGCGAAAGCGUGGGGAGCAAACG
rnacentral:rRNA from 1 species